CAGGGAGGACCAGGUCUUCCCGGCCGGGCAGGAUUCCCAGGGCCUAUGGGACCAAAGGGAGAUACAGGAGAGCCUGGACAGCCAGGAUACGCAGCUAAGGGGGAGAAAGGAGAACCUGGUAUUAUCAUGGGGCCUGAUGGAAGACCCCUGUACCUGGGAGGGCUGA